rnacentral:rRNA from 1 species
GACAGAGGAUGCAAGCGUUAUCCGGAAUGAUUGGGCGUAAAGCGUCUGUAGGUGGCUUUUUAAGUCUGCCGUCAAAUCCCAGGGCUCAACCCUGGAAGGCCGGUGGAAACUGUCGGGCUAGAGUCCGGAAGAGGCGAGUGGAAUUCCCGGUGUAGCGGUGAAAUGCGCAGAUAUCGGGAGGAACACCAAUGGCGAAGGCAGCUCGCUGGGACGGUACUGACGCUGAGACGCGAAAGCGUGGGGAGCAAACAGG